rnacentral:misc_RNA from 1 species
UCCGCUUUGUUUGCGGCAGUCUCCCUAGACGUUCAACUAGGGACGGGGGUUGCGCUCGUUGCGGGACUUAACCCAACAUCUCACGACACGAGCUGACGACAGCCAUGCAGCAUCUGUGCACCCGUCCCGAAGGAGGCUCCUCUUUCGAGGAGUUGCGAGUGCAUGUCAAGCCCAGGUAAGGUUCUUCGCGUCGCAUCGAAUUAAACCACACGCUCCGCUGCUUGUGCGGGGCCCCGUCAAUUCCUUUGAGUUUUAGUCUUGCGACCGUACUCCCCAGGCGGACCACUUAAUGCGUUAGCUACGGCACGGAGGGGGUCAACACCCCCCACACCUAGUGGUCAUCGUUUACUGCUGGGACUAC